CUUAGCAGCCGUCAUAUAGCAGGCAAAGGAGUUGCAGGUUCGGCAUUCUCCGAGCCCCUCUUUAAAGUCCUCUGGAAGGGCGUGGCUUUUUCACCUCUGGCUAAACAGGAGCUUUCUUCCUCAUCAGAGCCUGAAGCUUUUGAUCCUCCAUCUCCCGCUUAUUCGCAGACUAUGCAUACACAACUUCUCAGCCAGGGGCAUGGACUCAAGAACAGGCUUCCAUCCCAUGCUCCUGUGUUCACUGAAUUGAUCCUGGGAAGUUCUUGUGUAGGCAGACGCAGCAGCUGUGAGUUCAUGAGAGCUGGAACCUUGAGAAUCCAGAAG
rnacentral:lncRNA from 1 species